UAAUACAUGCAAGUCGAACGAGUUCUGAUUAUUGAAAGGUGCUUGCAUCUUGAUUUAAUUUUGAACGAGUGGCGGACGGGUGAGUAACACGUGGGUAACCUGCCCUUAAGUGGGGGAUAACAUUUGGAAACAGAUGCUAAUACCGCAUAAAUCCAAGAACCGCAUGGUUCUUGGCUGAAAGAUGGCGUAAGCUAUCGCUUUUGGAUGGACCCGCGGCGUAUUAGCUAGUUGGUGAGGUAACGGCUCACCAAGGCAAUGAUACGUAGCCGAACUGAGAGGUUGAUCGGCCACAUUGGGACUGAGACACGGCCCAAACUCCUACGGGAGGCAGCAGUAGGGAAUCUUCCACAAUGGACGCAAGUUUGAUGGAGCAACGCCGCGUGAGUGAAGAAGGCUUUCGGGUCGUAAAACUCUGUUGUUGGAGAAGAAUGGUCGGCAGAGUAACUGUUGUCGGCGUGACGGUAUCCAACCAGAAAGCCACGGCUAACUACGUGCCAGCAGCCGCGGUAAUACGUAGGUGGCAAGCGUUAUCCGGAUUUAUUGGGCGUAAAGCGAGCGCAGGCGGUUUUUUAAGUCUGAUGUGAAAGCCCUCGGCUUAACCGAGGAAGUGCAUCGGAAACUGGGAAACUUGAGUGCAGAAGAGGACAGUGGAACUCCAUGUGUAGCGGUGAAAUGCGUAGAUAUAUGGAAGAACACCAGUGGCGAAGGCGGCUGUCUGGUCUGUAACUGACGCUGAGGCUCGAAAGCAUGGGUAGCGAACAGGAUUAGAUACCCUGGUAGUCCAUGCCGUAAACGAUGAAUGCUAGGUGUUGGAGGGUUUCCGCCCUUCAGUGCCGCAGCUAACGCAUUAAGCAUUCCGCCUGGGGAGUACGACCGCAAGGUUGAAACUCAAAGGAAUUGACGGGGGCCCGCACAAGCGGUGGAGCAUGUGGUUUAAUUCGAAGCAACGCGAAGAACCUUACCAGGUCUUGACAUCUUUUGAUCACCUGAGAGAUCAGGUUUCCCCUUCGGGGGCAAAAUGACAGGUGGUGCAUGGUUGUCGUCAGCUCGUGUCGUGAGAUGUUGGGUUAAGUCCCGCAACGAGCGCAACCCUUAUGACUAGUUGCCAGCAUUUAGUUGGGCACUCUAGUAAGACUGCCGGUGACAAACCGGAGGAAGGUGGGGAUGACGUCAAAUCAUCAUGCCCCUUAUGACCUGGGCUACACACGUGCUACAAUGGAUGGUACAACGAGUUGCGAGACCGCGAGGUCAAGCUAAUCUCUUAAAGCCAUUCUCAGUUCGGACUGUAGGCUGCAACUCGCCUACACGAAGUCGGAAUCGCUAGUAAUCGCGGAUCAGCACGCCGCGGUGAAUACGUUCCCGGGCCUUGUACACACCGCCCGUCACACCAUGAGAGUUUGUAACACCCGAAGCCGGUGGCGUAACCCUUUUAGGGAGCGAGCCGUCUAAGGUGGGACAAAUGAUUAGGGU
rnacentral:rRNA from 2 species